GCAGCCGCCCCGAUGCCCGAAGGUGCCGGGUGCCGCUCGCCCGGGGGGACGCACCGAACACACCGGUGGCGGCUCCGCUGGUUCCUCACAGGGAAAAAGCCCCCAGCCCCUGGGCAGGUCUGUCCGCGGCUCCACGGCCACAAGGUUAUAAAUGUUGGCAAAAUUUCAGCUCAUUCAAAAUCAGCAGCAAAGCUCUGUUUUCAGUGGGACAAGGGGCUGACUGACAGAAUCGCAAAAGGAUGUGAUUGAAAAGGAAGCUGGGAAGGCAGAAGCAGAUUGUACUUCCUGCAUUGAAAAACAUGGAUAGAUUCAUCCUGUACACAACUGACAGGAUAGGGGCUGGGGAAACAGCUGAUUUUGAGUUUAUCUGGAAUUAACAGAAUUGUCUUUAGAGGCAAAGGCCCAGAACAUGUUCUGGCAAAGGAAAAGGGAGAGAAAAAGACUUAAAUCCUCAGAGUAUGUGGAUACAUUUGUUUAGAAGAUGAACAUGAGAAGUCUGAGAAACAGACAUGGCACUACUUCAUGGGAAAAUAAGAGUCAACUUAACUGCUAUGAUGGACCAAAGAAGAGCAUUCUGUAUCAACUAAUUUGGUAGAGGAGAAUCAGCAUCUUGGUCUUAAAUAAGAGCUUGAUGCAGGAAGAAUUUAGAAAUAUUUGGUAGAGCCACAUGUGACUGAUCAAAAUAUUCACCCUAAGCACACAAAACAAGACUGUUAAGAUUUGCCAGAUAUGGGACUCACCUGCAGCAGAAUGUGGCUUAACAGAACUUGGGAGACCCUUCCAAUGGAAGAUGUUUUGUUCACAAAGCACAAUCACUUUGGAGACCUUUAUGCAAUUUCUGCAAUAAAUGAAAAUGGGAUUGCCCUUGUUGCUGUCACUGCAGGCUCAUGAUCUGGACCCCAGGACUCGAGCAGGACUGAAGGACAUAUGGGAUGCGGAUUUGCCUCUCACCGAGGUGCUGCUGGCUGGUUCACUGCCUGCUGGAGGGUGUCUCUAAGACCUGAUUUAACCUGAAGCAUGCACUUCCUCAGGAGGUCUGCAGCAGGGCUGGAGGACUGCAAACACUGCAUCACUUCCCUCCUGUCACCUGCUGCCACAUGACUGCUGCGCCUGUGCUGUGCUCUCAGCUGCCUCACUCUGAAAUUUUCCUCAUGAUGGUUUGUAUGGAGCUGCCAUGGCGCAGGCUUUGCUUUUGGUGGCAGUAUCCCUUGCCAUGUCAUUCAUAAAGAAGAUGGCUUUAUCCUUGCCUUUAUUCCACUGGGACCAUCUGCUCUACCCACAGGUGCCAAAAGUGGCAAAUCUUCUUUUUUAAUUUUCAGUUGAAGCUCUACAUCACAUGAACUUCUUGGGGUUUUUUGAGAGGUAAAGACUUUUUUUUUUUUUUUACAACACCAAAUAAAGCAACACCAAAUAACAACCCAAACACCACAGCCCAAGGAACCCAUAACUGACAGGGAAAAAAACCUGAAACCCACACAUUGAACCCAAGCUGGAGAAAUAACUGCAUUGUGUGACUGAUACAGUCCAUGGGAGUACAAAGCAUUCCAGUCUGAUUUUGCACAUCUGCUCCCUAUACCUAUUAAUAUCUUUUAGGCAUGGGCAUGGACAUGAAGAUGGGCAAGAGUAGUUUGCCGUGCAAACAUUUUUCUGGGAGCUGUACUAUUUUCUAGAGCUAAA